rnacentral:tRNA from 1 species
UCUUCCUUAGCUCAGUUGGUAGAGCGCAUGACUGUUAAUCAUGAGGUCACUGGUUCGAGCCCAGUAGGAAGAGCAA